CCUACGGGCUGCAGCAGUGGGGAAUAUUGCACAAUGGGCGCAAGCCUGAUGCAGCCAUGCCGCGUGUAUGAAGAAGGCCUUCGGGUUGUAAAAUACUUUCAGCGGGGAGGAAGGCGUUGUGGUUAAUAACCACAGCAAUUGACGUUACCCGCAGAAGAAGCACCGGCUAAUUCCGUGCCAGCAGCCGUGGUAAUACGGAGGGUGCAAGCGUUAAUCGGAAUUACUGGGCGUAAAGCGCACGCAGGCGGUCUGUCAAGUCGGAUGUGAAAUCCCCGGGCUCAACCUGGGAACUGCAUUCGAAGCUGGCAGGCUAGAGUCUUGUAGAGGGGGGUAGAAUUCCAGGUGUAGCGGUGAAAUGCGUAGAGAUCUGGAGGAAUACCGGUGGCGAAGGCGGCCCCCUGGACAAAGACUGACGCUCAGGUGCGAAAGCGUGGGGAGCAAACAGGAUUAGAUACCCCAGUAGUC
rnacentral:rRNA from 1 species